rnacentral:rRNA from 1 species
GGGUUGUGAGGUUAAGCGACUAAGCGUACACGGUGGAUGCCCUGGCAGUCAGAGGCGAUGAAGGGCGUGCUAAUCUGCGAUAAGCGCCGGUAAGGUGAUAUGAACCGUUAUAACCGGCGAUACCCGAAUGGGGAAACCCAGUGUGACUCGUCACACUAUCAUUAACUGAAUCCAUAGGUUAAUGAGGCGAACCGGGGGAACUGAAACAUCUAAGUACCCCGAGGAAAAGAAAUCAACCGAGAUUCCCCCAGUAGCGGCGAGCGAACGGGGAGGAGCCCAGAGCCUGAAUCAGCAUGUGUGUUAGUGGAAGCGUCUGGAAAGGCGCGCGAUACAGGGUGACAGCCCCGUACACAAAAGCGCAUGUGCUGUGAGCUCGAUGAGUAGGGCGGGACACGUGGUAUCCUGUCUGAAUAUGGGGGGACCAUCCUCCAAGGCUAAAUACUCCUGACUGACCGAUAGUGAACCAGUACCGUGAGGGAAAGGCGAAAAGAACCCCGGCGAGGGGAGUGAAAAAGAACCUGAAACCGUGUACGUACAAGCAGUGGGAGCNNGUGACUGCGUACCUUUUGUAUAAUGGGUCAGCGACUUAUAUUCUGUAGCAAGGUUAACCGAAUAGGGGAGCCGGAGGGAAACCGAGUCUUAAUUGGGCGUUAAGUUGCAGGGUAUAGACCCGAAACCCGGUGAUCUAGCCAUGGGCAGGUUGAAGGUUGGGUAACACUAACUGGAGGACCGAACCGACUAAUGUUGAAAAAUUAGCGGAUGACCUGUGGCUGGGGGUGAAAGGCCAAUCAAACCGGGAGAUAGCUGGUUCUCCCCGAAAGCUAUUUAGGUAGCGCCUCGUGAAUUCAUCUCCGGGGGUAGAGCACUGUUUCGGCUAGGGGGCCAUCCCGGCUUACCAACCCGAUGCAAACUGCGAAUACCGGAGAAUGUUAUCACGGGAGACACACGGCGGGUGCUAACGUCCGUCGUGAAGAGGGAAACAACCCAGACCGCCAGCUAAGGUCCCAAAGUCAUGGUUAAGUGGGAAACGAUGUGGGAAGGCCCAGACAGCCAGGAUGUUGGCUUAGAAGCAGCCAUCAUUUAAAGAAAGCGUAAUAGCUCACUGGUCGAGUCGGCCUGCGCGGAAGAUGUAACGGGGCUAAACCAUGCACCGAAGCUGCGGCAGCGANNGUUGGGUAGGGGAGCGUUCUGUAAGCCUGCGAAGGUGGCCUGUGAGGGUUGCUGGAGGUAUCAGAAGUGCGAAUGCUGACAUAAGUAACGAUAAAGCGGGUGAAAAGCCCGCUCGCCGGAAGACCAAGGGUUCCUGUCCAACGUUAAUCGGGGCAGGGUGAGUCGACCCCUAAGGCGAGGCCGAAAGGCGUAGUCGAUGGGAAACGGGUUAAUAUUCCCGUACUUGGUGUUACUGCGAAGGGGGGACGGAGAAGGCUAUGUUGGCCGGGCGACGGUUGUCCCGGUUUAAGCGUGUAGGUGUGUGUUCCAGGUAAAUCCGGUUCACUUUAACACUGAGGCGUGAUGACGAGGCACUACGGUGCUGAAGCAACAAAUGCCCUGCUUCCAGGAAAAGCCUCUAAGCAUCAGGUAACAUCAAAUCGUACCCCAAACCGACACAGGUGGUCAGGUAGAGAAUACCAAGGCGCUUGAGAGAACUCGGGUGAAGGAACUAGGCAAAAUGGUGCCGUAACUUCGGGAGAAGGCACGCUGACACGUAGGUGAAGUGAUUUACUCAUGGAGCUGAAGUCAGUCGAAGAUACCAGCUGGCUGCAACUGUUUAUUAAAAACACAGCACUGUGCAAACACGAAAGUGGACGUAUACGGUGUGACGCCUGCCCGGUGCCGGAAGGUUAAUUGAUGGGGUCAGCGCAAGCGAAGCUCCUGAUCGAAGCCCCGGUAAACGGCGGCCGUAACUAUAACGGUCCUAAGGUAGCGAAAUUCCUUGUCGGGUAAGUUCCGACCUGCACGAAUGGCGUAAUGAUGGCCAGGCUGUCUCCACCCGAGACUCAGUGAAAUUGAACUCGCUGUGAAGAUGCAGUGUACCCGCGGCAAGACGGAAAGACCCCGUGAACCUUUACUAUAGCUUGACACUGAACAUUGAGCCUUGAUGUGUAGGAUAGGUGGGAGGCUUUGAAGCGUGGACGCCAGUCUGCGUGGAGCCGACCUUGAAAUACCACCCUUUAAUGUUUGAUGUUCUAACGUGGACCCGUGAUCCGGGUUGCGGACAGUGUCUGGUGGGUAGUUUGACUGGGGCGGUCUCCUCCUAAAGAGUAACGGAGGAGCACGAAGGUUGGCUAAUCCUGGUCGGACAUCAGGAGGUUAGUGCAAUGGCAUAAGCCAGCUUGACUGCGAGCGUGACGGCGCGAGCAGGUGCGAAAGCAGGUCAUAGUGAUCCGGUGGUUCUGAAUGGAAGGGCCAUCGCUCAACGGAUAAAAGGUACUCCGGGGAUAACAGGCUGAUACCGCCCAAGAGUUCAUAUCGACGGCGGUGUUUGGCACCUCGAUGUCGGCUCAUCACAUCCUGGGGCUGAAGUAGGUCCCAAGGGUAUGGCUGUUCGCCAUUUAAAGUGGUACGCGAGCUGGGUUUAGAACGUCGUGAGACAGUUCGGUCCCUAUCUGCCGUGGGCGCUGGAGAACUGAGGGGGGCUGCUCCUAGUACGAGAGGACCGGAGUGGACGCAUCACUGGUGUUCGGGUUGUCAUGCCAAUGGCACUGCCCGGUAGCUAAAUGCGGAAGAGAUAAGUGCUGAAAGCAUCUAAGCACGAAACUUGCCCCGAGAUGAGUUCUCCCUGAGACUU